rnacentral:sRNA from 1 species
GGGGUCUUGGUACUGGUGGGUGACAUGGGUCCGGGCUACCUGUUGCUGCGGAGUCCUAACAGAACCGCUACAGGAAUGGGCCCACCCUACCUAAGAAAAACUGAGGGCUGGAGCACGGGUGUGAUCUACCAUGCGUUGUCUCAGAAAGAGGCGAAUGACUCCGAUGUCCAGCUGUGGGUAGCAGAUGCAUGGCAGAUGAGCAGGUUGAGAGCCUCACCUUCAGGAGCACAGCGGGCCGAGGCCUUCGUGAGGGCCUUCCUGAAGCGCAGCACGCCCCGCAUGAGCCCGCAGGCCCGCGAGGACCAGCUGCAGCGCAAGGCGGUGGUCCUGGAGUACUUCACCCGCCACAAGCGCAAGGAGAAGAAGAAGAAAGCCAAAGGCCUCUCUGCCAGGCAAAGGAGGGAGCUGCGGCUCUUUGACAUUAAACCAGAGCAGCAGAGAUACAGCCUUUUCCUCCCUCUCCAUGAACUCUGGAAACAGUACAUCAGGGACCUGUGCAAUGGGCUCAAGCCAGACACGCAGCCACAGAUGAUUCAGGCCAAGCUCUUAAAGGCAGAUCUUCACGGGGCUAUUAUUUCAGCACUCGUUGCUGUCAGAAAGUAGAAUGGUGUGGUUCA